UACGGGGGGAGCAAGCGUUGUUCGGAUUUACUGGGCGUAAAGGGCGCGUAGGCGGUCGUGACAAGUCACUUGUGAAAUCUCCGGGCUUAACUCGGAACGGUCAAGUGAUACUGUCGGACUAGAGUACAGAAGGGGCAACUGGAAUUCUCGGUGUAGCGGUGAAAUGCGUAGAUAUCGAGAGGAACACCUGCGGCGAAGGCGGCACGCUGGACCCUCACUGACGCUGAGGCGCGAAAGCCAGGGGAGCGAACGGG
rnacentral:rRNA from 1 species